UACGAAGGGGGCUAGCGUUGCUCGGAAUUACUGGGCGUAAAGCGCACGUAGGCGGCUUUCUAAGUCGGGGGUGAAAUCCUGGAGCUCAACUCCAGAACUGCCUUCGAUACUGGAGAGCUUGAGUCCGGGAGAGGUGAGUGGAACUGCGAGUGUAGAGGUGAAAUUCGUAGAUAUUCGCAAGAACACCAGUGGCGAAGGCGGCUCACUGGCCCGGUACUGAUGCUGAGGUGCGAAAGCGUGGGGAGCAAACAGG
rnacentral:rRNA from 1 species